rnacentral:rRNA from 1 species
UACAGAGGGUGCGAGCGUUAAUCGGAAUUACUGGGCGUAAAGCGUGCGCAGGCGGUUCGUUAAGUUCGUUGUGAAAGCCCCGGGCUCAACCUGGGAACUGCAAUGGAAACUGGCGGGCUUGAGUGUGGCAGAGGGGGGUGGAAUUCCGCGUGUAGCAGUGAAAUGCGUAGAGAUGCGGAGGAACACCGAUGGCGAAGGCAGCCCCCUGGGCCAACACUGACGCUCAGGCACGAAAGCGUGGGGAGCAAACAGG